rnacentral:rRNA from 1 species
AUCAGCAUGCCGCGGUGAAUACGUUCCCGGGCCUUGUACACACCGCCCGUCACACCAUGGAAGUCGGUAAUGCCCGAAGUCAGUAGCCUAACCGCAAGGAGGGCGCUGCCGAAGGCAGGAUUGAUGACUGGGGUGAAGUCGUAACAAGGUAAC